CACCCCAUCCAGCUACCUUUGCGUGGCUGCGGUGUUGGGGCACGUCGCGGUGCGGCGGCCCUUAAAGACAGUGGCGGUCCCGGCGUGGGCUCUACGCGUAGUAACUUGCUUCUCGCGACAGAGUGACGACGGUCGGCCUGCCAGAAAGCUCAUUUGUUCCAGUCACAUGGAUCAUA
rnacentral:misc_RNA from 1 species